rnacentral:rRNA from 1 species
GUACGCUGGCGGCACGCCUAACACAUGCAAGUCGAACGCAGUAGCAAUACUGAGUGGCGAACGGGUGAGUAUAAUGUGGGUAUCUGCCUUUUGGUUUGGAAUAACAUGAGGAAACUUGUGCUAAUACCGAAUAAGCCCUUACGGGGAAAGUUUUAACGCCGAAAGAUGAGCCCGCACUUGAUUAGCUAGUUGGUAAGGUAAAAGCUUACCAAGGCUACGAUCAAUAGCUGAUCUGAGAGGAUGAUCAGCCACAUUGGGACUGAGACACGGCCCAGACUCCUACGGGAGGCAGCAGUGGGGAAUCUUGCACAAUGGGGGAAACCCUGAUGCAGCGAUGCCGCGUGAGUGAAGAAGGCCUUUGGGUUGUAAAGCUCUUUCGUCGGGGAAGAAAAUGACUGUACCCGAAUAAGAAGGUCCGGCUAACUUCGUGCCAGCAGCCGCGGUAAUACGAAGGGACCUAGCGUAGUUCGGAAUUACUGGGCUUAAAGAGCACGUAGGUGGUUAGAAAAGUUGGUGGUGAAAGCCCAAGGCUUAACCUUGGAACUGCCAUCAAAACUUUUUGACUAGAGUAUGAUAGAGGUAAGCGGAAUUUCUAGUGUAGAGGUGAAAUUCGUAGAUAUUAGAAAGAACACCAAUUGCGAAGGCAGCUUUCUGGAUCAUUACUGACACUGAGGUGCGAAAGCAUGGGUAGCGAAGAGGAUUAGAUACCCUCGUAGUCCAUGCCGUAAACGAUGUGUGCUAGACGUUGGGAAUUUAUUUUUCAGUGUCGCAGCUAAAGCGUUAAGCACACCGCCUGGGGAGUACGACCGCAAGUUAAACUAAUGAUUGCG